CGCGGCCUAUCAGCUUGUUGGUGAGGUAACGGCUCACCAAGGCAUCGACGGGUAGCUGGUCUGAGAGGACGAUCAGCCACACUGGGGCUGAGACACGGCCCAGACUCCUACGGGAGGCAGCAGUAGGGAAUCUUGCGCAAUGGGCGAAAGCCUGACGCAGCAACGCCGCGUGGGGGAUGAAGGCCUUCGGGUCGUAAACCCCUUUCAGCAGGGACGAAACUGACGGUACCUGCAGAAGAAGGUCCGGCCAACUACGUGCCAGCAGCCGCGGUAAUACGUAGGGGCCAAGCGUUGUCCGGAAUUAUUGGGCGUAAAGAGCUCGUAGGCGGUUCGGUAAGUCGGGUGUGAAAAUCCAGGGCUCAACCCUGGGACGCCACCCGAUACUGCUGUGACUAGAGUCCGGUAGAGGAGCGUGGAAUUCCUGGUGUAGCGGUGAAAUGCGCAGAUAUCAGGAGGAACACCAGCGGCGAAGGCGGCGCUCUGGGCCGGUACUGACGCUGAGGAGCGAAAGCGUGGGGAGCAAACAGGAUUAGAUACCCUGGUAGUCCACGCCGUAAACGUUGGGCACUAGGUAUGGGGUCUUAUCAACGGAUUCCGUGCCGUAGCUAACGCAUUAAGUGCCCCGCCUGGGGAGUACGG
rnacentral:rRNA from 1 species